GGUUCAAAACGUCGUGAGACAGUUUGGUCCCUAUCUGUCGCAAUCGCUGGAAAUUUGAGAGGAGCUGCCCCUAGUACGAGAGGACCGGGGUGGACAAUCCUAUGGUGUACCGGUUAGUCCGCCAGGGCUAUUGCCGGGUAGCUAAGAUUGGCAGGGAUAAACGCUGAAAGCAUCUAAGUGUGAAGCCUCCCUCAAGAUGAGAUUUCCCAUCAGCAAUGAUUAAGAUCCCAUGAAGAACACAUGGUUGAUAGGCUGGGUGUGUAAGCACGGUGACGUGUUAAGCUGACCAGUACUAAUAGAUCGAAGACUUAACUUU
rnacentral:rRNA from 1 species